rnacentral:rRNA from 1 species
UACAGAGGUCUCGAGCGUUAGGCGGAAUCACUGGGCUUAAAGCGUGUGUAGGCGGAUCGUUAAGUGUCUUGUGAAAUCCCACGGCUCACCCGUGGAACUGCUGGGCAUACUGGCGAUCUUGGGCCAACUAGGGGCAACUGGAACAAGCGGUGGAGCGGUGAAAUGCGUAGAUAUCGCUUGGAACGCCAACGGUGAAAACAGGUUGCUGGGGUUGUGCCGACGCUGAGACACGAAAGCCAGGGGAGCAAACGGG